rnacentral:rRNA from 1 species
UGGCUCAGGACGAACGCUGGCGGCGUGCUUAACACAUGCAAGUCGAACGAUGAUCCGGUGCUUGCACCGGGGAUUAGUGGCGAACGGGUGAGUAACACGUGAGUAACCUGCCCUUGACUCUGGGAUAAGCCUGGGAAACCGGGUCUAAUACCGGAUACGACCUUUCACCGCAUGGUGGUUGGUGGAAAGAUUUUUUGGUUUUGGAUGGACUCGCGGCCUAUCAGCUUGUUGGUGAGGUAAUGGCUCACCAAGGCGACGACGGGUAGCCGGCCUGAGAGGGUGACCGGCCACACUGGGACUGAGACACGGCCCAGACUCCUACGGGAGGCAGCAGUGGGGAAUAUUGCACAAUGGGCGAAAGCCUGAUGCAGCGACGCCGCGUGAGGGAUGACGGCCUUCGGGUUGUAAAC